AGCGAACGCUGGCGGCAGGCUUAACACAUGCAAGUCGAGCGGGCAUCCUUGUGGUGUCAGCGGCAGACGGGUGAGUAACGCGUGGGAACGUGCCCUUCGGUUCGGAAUAACUCAGGGAAACUUGAGCUAAUCCCGGAUACGUGCGAGAGCAGAAAGGUUUAUCUGCCGAAGGAUCGGCCCGCGUCUGAUUAGCUAGUUGGUGAGGUUACGGCUCACCAAGGCGACGAUCAGUAGCCGGUCUGAGAGGAUGAUCAGCCACACUGGGACUGAGACACGGCCCAGAAUCCUACGGGAGGCAGCAGUGGGGAAUAUUGGACAAUGGGGGCAACCCUGAUCCAGCCAGGCCGCGUGAGUGAUGACGGCCUUAGGGUUGUAAAGCUCUUUUCUCCGGGACGAUAAUGACGGUACCGGAGGAAUAAGCCCCGGCUAACUUCGUG
rnacentral:rRNA from 1 species